ensembl:lncRNA
AUCAUCCUCAUCAUGAGUAGAAAAAAUCAGAGCAUGAAAAUUUCCCUAAUAAUUUCAUUUAUGAUUACAACAUAACAAUAAGAUCUGCCUACACAUUUACUUUUUAGUAAGAACAAGGGUAAGAUUGGUGAUAGGAUUGCCAGGCAGGCAGCAAGACAGAGCAACUAACAAAAGAAAACAAAAUUUUAAAUUCCAAAGGAAGUCUCUAACUGGACUAUGUUAUAUCAAAUACAUUUAAUAAAAAGCAGUUCGUUACAGAGAAAAAAAAAUUUUUCGCAGAAGUGUAGUUGUGCUUUAUUGAAUGGUUAAUUAAAUUUGAUACAUGCCUGAAAUUGGAGUUCAAUUCAUUUUAAAUUUAUUUCUAAAACGAUAAAAGUUUUUUAUAACUCCCAAACUUCCACAUUCAUUUUUUUGAGUUUCCAGAUUUGGACUUUCAGAAUAGAAUACCUAUUUCCAUAGUAGAAGCAAUGCUUGUUAUGGUAGAUAAAUGUUCAAUAUGAAAAAAAAAAUUUUUUUCUUUCUUGAUUUACCAAACACCUCUUUCAUAUCUUUCAAAGUGACCCUCUAAAAUAGAAUGUUAACUGCAUAAAAGAUUAUGUCUUUCUCCAUAAGCAUGUAUUCACAAUGUCCUAGGGCAUUAUUUCAGCAAGGAAAAUUCCUGAUGUUUUAAAAUCAAUUUUUAAAAAAUGCUAAAGAAAUAAUUACAUCAUAUAGAAUUUAAGUACUUCUCUUUUACCAUGUUACAUAAAAGGCACAUCUAAAUUUAGACAUAUGUAGAUAAACAUUCCAAUCUCUGAAAAACCCGAGACCACAGAAGUUCUAGGGAAAAGUCUGUAUUAUAUUAAACAUGAGACUCCAUUUCCUUGUUUUGAAUUAUUGGUGCUGCUGUGGCAACAGCACAAUAGAGAACUUUGUUGCACUCUCAGCGGAGCUAUUUAUAUUAUUUAACCUCUUCCCUGGGAGUUCUUCCUCUACUAAGUUAUUCCAUUAUUUUAAUAAAGCAGUCCAUUCAAAUUAAAAAAAAAACCUGUUACUAAAUGUGCACAAACAAAACUUAGCUUUGAACUGUUUAGGGAAGUAUUCUGGACAUAAAACUAAUAUAUUGAAGUGUUUUAAAAGUAACUGAACACCCAUUUCACAGAUAACAGAAUUCUGAAAUAAAACGAUCAUUUCCAGAAGCUUUAAGAAGUGGCUUAUGACUCCUAAAUGCUCUAAAAGACACCAAGAAAACCCAGAAAUGUGAAAUAGCUAGUUAAGUAAUAGUUAAAAUACUUCAAAAGAGAACUUUUCAAAGAAAAGUUUAAGAUGAUGUUCCUUCAUGAUUGUAGGAUGAAGCAAUUGCAGUGACACAGGCUUGGGGACGGACUAAUGUCAACUAUUUUCAUAAAGAUACACAUCACAAAAUUUUCUUUGAUACUUUCCUCUGGAAUGGUUAAAUUAAUCAAUCAAAGAGAUGAACUAAUCAAUUUGAUUUAAACUGUUAACAUGUUGAACUAUACAAAAUGUUUCCUUUUAACCAGUAAAUUGGUUAACCAUUUAGCUGGAUCAAGGUAAAACAUUUUAAUAAAAUCUUUCUUUUUUGGCUCUUUAGGGCUGCACCUGCAGCAUAUAGAAGUUCCAGGCUAGGGGUUGAAUCAGAGCUACAGCUGCCAGCCUAUGCCACAGCCACAGCAACACAGGAUUCAAGCCACGUCUGCAACCUACAUCACAGCUCACAGCAACACCAGAUCCUUAACCCACUGAGCGAGGCCGGGGAUUGAACCCACAUCCUCAGUGAUACUAGUUGGGCUCGUUACCACUGAGCCACAACAGGAACUUCCUUUAAUAAAAUCUUUGAAACACAGUAACUGGAAUUAAUUCUUAUAUUUGGAAAUGACUAAAACAGUUGAAAGGAGUUUUUAAGAAGGGAAAAAAUUAAGUAGGAAAAUUAACUACCAGUAAUUCUGUUCAAAUGACUGAGAAAUAUUUGGGGUGAGGGUGGUUUAAGACAAGAUAUCAGAACCAGGCAUAAAUGAUUUAAAUGGAAGAAAAGGACAGUAAAUCCUAUGUUAAAAGUGAAAAUUCCACUUCUCCAUUUUCAUCUAUCAUUUCUCCCACACACCUGCUACUCCAGGUACAAGGAAUUUCUCCUUUUUUCUUUAAAAUGGCCAAGGCCUUUCACCCUUCUACUCAUCUCCGCCUGUAGGCUCCCUUUGCCUAUCCUUUUUUGCUGGAAAGCUCACAAUCACUUUUUUGGGUCAGUGGUCUUCGCUGUCACCCUGCCUCAUGUCCCACAUUCAUUCAGAGCUUGCUGCUGCUUCUUCAGCGACACAGAUCAUCGCUCCUACUUCUGCCUGGGAAAUUAAGAAGGUGUUUUGUCUGACUCUCACACUAAUCUGGGGCCUCUUCUAUGGUAGAAUCCACAGAAAAUUCAUUCAUUCAUCUUUGUACCUCCAUUUAUUUUAGAAUUGUUACUGCAAUUACUGAAUGACUGGAAAUAAUGAUAUAAAAUGAAUUGAAAAUUAGUAAUAGAAACUAAAUGUUUCCAAAAAUUACAACAUGUUUCAAAAUAUAUGUUUGUUCAUGUAACAGAACACAGGAAGAAGUUUAGAGAAGUGGUAAGCACACAGAAAGAAAAAUUAGGAGAAAAAAGAAGUCACUUUUGUUACUGUUUACUAGGACUACGAGUAAUCUUAUUUCGCAAAUAUUCUAUUAAAAUUUAUUUCAAACUUAAGAUUAUUAAGGCUAAGAUAAUAAGCAUUAUUUCUAGUUUUAUAUUUGGCUCAUAUAAAGCUAAUUGGAUAAGCUGUCAUUUCAACUAUUCAUUAUUUCAUUAUAAAAUGUAACACCACCCACUUUCUAUGGAAGAAAAAAAAAAUCACAUUUUCUCUCUUAUUAAAACCUAUGCCCUCUAGAGGUGCUCUGUCAAGCUGAGAAAUGGCAUGUCAGUAGACAUAAUAUGCUGAAGAGACAGAUGUCCCUAUUCAAAAAUGCAUGUGCAAUGAUCAAUCACAACUCAGAACACUCCUGAAAACUCAAGUGCCACACUUAAAAAAACAAUUACAGAGAGACAUGUUAAAAUAAUAUCAAGAAGCUGAUACAGGCUGAAUGCUUUACCCAAGAAAGUCAAAAGAGUAUGUGCAGAACAUGAGAGGAUUUUCUGUUUUGCUAAGAUUCUAUGCAAGAGUUUAAAAGGUAUUGUUAGAGGAAUGAUUGUGCCAAGGUCCAUGCUUGCUAUUGGGUGAGCCCCCCUUGCUUCAUCCUUCUUUGCUCUGAGCUAUCCAUUCAAUAUACACACCUUGCCUAUCAUUAAUUCCAUGUCUAGUUUCAAGUACUUAGUAUUUAUUACUCUAAGCAUGUCUUUGAUUUUAUUUCAUAUGUAUGUAAACCUAAGUAAUACAUAGCAGUCUAAACAUAUUUUUGAGAUUCAUGUGAUUGUGUACUGAUAUAUCUAUACACAGAAUACACCUGGUUCAUUCAUUAUUAAAGCCACAUAACCCAAAAAAUCAAAUACCUGGGAAUACAGCUGACCAAAGAGGUGAAGGACUUAUAUGCUGAGAACUAUAAAACAUUAAUCAAGGAAAUUAAAGAAGAUGUAAAGAAAUGGAAAGAUAUUCCAUGCUCCUGGGUUGGAAAAAUUAAUAUGGUAAAAAUGACCACACUACUCAAAGCAAUCUACAGAUUCAGUGCAAUCCCUAUCAAAUUACCCAUGACAUUUUUCACACAACUACAACAAACAAUCCAAAAAUGUAUAUGGAACCACAAAAGACCCAGAAUUGCCAAAGCAACCCUGAGGAACAAAAACCAAGCAGGAGGCGUCACUCUCCCACACUUCAGGCAAUAUUACAAAGCCACAGUCAUCAGGACAGUGUGGUACGGAUACCAAAACAGACAGACCAAUGGAACAGAAUAGAGAACCCAGAAAUAAUCCCAGACACCUAUGGUCACUGAAUCUUUGACAAAGGAGGCAAGAACAUCAAAUGGGAAAAGACAGUCUUUUUAGCAAGUAUUGCUGGGAAACAUGGACAGCUGCAAGCAAAUCAAUGAAACUAGAACACACCCUCAGACCAUGCACAAAAAUAAAGUCAAAAUGUCUUAGAGACUUAAAUACAGACAAGACACCAUCAAACUCCUGGAAGAGAACAUGGGCAAGACAUUCUCUCACAUCAACCUUAAAGAGGUUUUUUCAGGUCAGUCUCCCAAAGCAACAGAAAUAAGAGCAAAAAUAAACCAAUGGGACCUAAUCAAACUGGCAAGCUUUUGCACAGCAAAGGAAACCAAAAAGACAACUACAGAAUGGGAGAAAAUAGUUUCAAAUGAUGUGACUGACAAGGUCUUAAUCUCUAGAAUAUACAAACAGCUUAUACAACUCAAGAGCAAAUAAGCCAACCACCCAAUGGAAAAAUGGGCAAAAGAGCUGAAUAGACAUCUCUCCAAGGAAGAUGUACAGAUGGCCAACAAGCACAUGAAAAAAUGUUCAACAUCCCUGAUUAUUAGAGAAAUGUAAAGCAAAACUACCACAAGACAUUACCUCACACCAGUCAGAAAGGCCAUCAUUAGAAAGUCCACAAAUAACACAGGCUGGAGGGGGUGUGGAGAGAAGGGAACCCUCCUGCACUGUUGGUGGGAAGGUAAGCUGUACAACCACUAUAGAGAUCAGGAGGGAGGUACCUUAGAAAUCUAUACAUAGAACUACCAUACGACCGAGCAAUCCCACUCUUGGCCAUUUAUGCGGACAAAACUUGCCUUAAAAAAGACACAUGCACCCGCAUGUACAUUGCAGUUCUAUUCACAGUAGCCAAGACUGGGAAACAACCCAAAUGUCCAUCGACAGACAAUUGGAUUAGGAAGAUGUAGUAUAUACACACAAUGGAAUACUACUCAGCCAUAAAAAAGAACAAAAUAAUGCCAUUUGCAGUAACAUGGAUGGAACUAGAGACUCUAACACUGAGUGAAGUAA